AAAGUCUGAGCUCUCCUGCUCACAGCCUCAGACCCGUCUGAGCAUGUUUGGAUGAAUGACUGGCCAAGCAGGCUGCCCAGAGUUCUCCUUGGAUCUCGCGUUCAAUCCUUUGCUGCACAGGAGACCAGAAAAAGGCUGUUUCUGCAGAAUCCUUCAGAAGGUCAGAGUUCACUUUUCUGGAGCAUCUCAGUGCAUACAUACCUCUUGGUCUGGCAGUCCCUGACUUGUUGUUAAGUUGAAGCCGGAGGGCCAGAGAUUUGAAGUCACCCUUGGCUACGUGGAGACAGAGAGUUCAAGGCUGACAGGUUUUAGAAGAUCCGUUUCAAACAAAAGGAAGUUUCACGAAAGUCCAGAGUUUGGACUUCAGAGCAGAGAAGACAAUAAUAGGCGGAUGUGAGUUUCCUGCAACACAGAAAGCCAGCCUUUGAGAGAUGGUGAACGUUGGUGGGGUCAGAGGGACAAGCUAGGUGGUGGUGUCUGCUCUCGUCAGGUCACGCAUAACAUAGAUGAGUGAAGGAGGCAGCAGGAAAGGAGUUGAUUGGUCAAUCCACAUGGACCAGGCGAGAGACUUCAACCGCACAACCCACCCUUGCCUCACUGAUUCCUAACACCACUCAUGGCCCCUAUUGGUGUCAGGACCAAACUCUCUGUCUGGACUCCCCGAAGUUCUCCUUGGACCAAAGCUCGUUUUUAGAAGAAUGAGAUGUGCGAGAGGAGGGUGCAGAUUGCAGAUAUACCAUGAGCAAGGCCUGGGAAGAGGAACUGAAAAUAGGGAACCCCGGGGGCCAAUCUGUAGCACCUGCUCAAGGUUUGUGUUCCUUCUAUGAUGCUGCUGCUAAUAAGACACGGGUCCCUGGACAAGUCACCAAACCCCGUCUGCUUUUCUACUUAUAAACAUUCCAAAGAGAGGCUGGAGUGAUGGCUCAGUGGUUAAGUGCACUGGCUGCUCUUUCAGAGGACACAACUUUGAUUCUCAGAACUCACACAUUGGCUCACAAAAGUCUGUAGCCCCAGUUCUAGCGAGCUACACCCACCCUUUUAGACUUUGUGGGCAGCAGGUACACAAGUGGUGCACACACAUACGUGUGAGCGAAGUAUCCAUAUACAUUUAAAAAAUUAAAAGGCAAAGUUUUGGAGAAAGUUGAAUGAACAAAUAAACACAGCUGGUCCUUCAUAGCCACAACUUCCACAAUCGUAGACUCAAGCAACUAUAGUUAAAAAAAUAUUUUUAUUGAUGUUUUUGGUGUCUAGUAACAUAAUCUUCUUGUCCCAGAACUUGGGAAGAGGAAACAGAAGGAUCAGAGUUCAAGGCCAUCCUAGCCCUACUAUAGAUGUAGGCCUGCCUAUAUGGAGCUGAGUUGGAGUGGUGCUUGCCUAACAUGCUUGAGGCCCUUAAUUUAACUCCCAGUGUUAUAUCAAGUAGUUGAGGUAAAACGUGACUAUAAUCUUAGCAUUUGACAGGUGGAGGCAGGAAGAUCUGAGGUUAAACAUCAUCCUUGAUAUUGAGUUUAUAAAGAGUUCAAGGUUAUCCUGGGUUAUAUACUCAAUUUUAAAUAAAUGAAUGAAUAAUUAAAUAAGUAAAUAAAACAUUGUAUCUGUA